rnacentral:tRNA from 1 species
GCCUUCGUGGUGUAGUGGCCAACACGCUCGACGCGUAACCAAGAGGACUUUGGUUCGAUUCCCGGCGAGGGCA